rnacentral:lncRNA from 1 species
GGGUGUUUGAUGGAGAGAGGUGGCUAGCCACCCAUCUGAGAGGAGCUCGGAGUCCGGCUCUCGCAGGAGUUCGGAUGGAGUCUUCCUUCAGUCAAAGUCGGGAGUGAAGUCCGGCUCCCGUAGGAGUUCGGGCGGGGUCUUCCCGUAGCCGGAGUCGGAGAUGAGGUCUGGCUCUCGUAGGAGUCUGGGCGAAGUCUUCCUGCAAUUAAAGUCAGGGAUGAAGUCUGGCCCCCUUAGGAGUCCGGACGAAGUUUACCUGUAAGCGAAGUCAUGGGUGGAGCCCGGCUCCCGUAGGAGUCCGGGCGAAGUCCUUGUGCAGUCGAAAUUUGGAACGAGACCCGGCUCCCGUAGGAGUCCGGGCAGAGUCUUCCCACAGCUGGAGCUGG